CCGCCGCGCCCCCUCCCAGCCCGCAGGUCCCGGCUCGCAGAGCCUCGCACAUGCGCUCGCACACGUAGGCGGGAGCCGCGGGCGCAGCCGCACACCCAGCACACGCAGCAGCCGCGCGCGGACCGGAGCCUCGGGGCCCAGGGGCCGCGACCGGGGCGGGGGCCCACGCUGGGGUGCUGCGCCCGAGCACGUACCGGGGCGUGGCCCGCAGCGCGGAGGGCGGGGCUUGCGGAAGUUUCUCCGGGUGGCUGGUGUUUCGCAUCUUCAUCAUGUAGCAGUACCAGCCGCGCCGGGAGCGGGAGGGGAGCCGCGUUCCUUCCGCGUGCUUGUUGUUUCCCCGCCGAAGCUCUGACCAACCGCUCUCAUGCACCUGUCUUUCUGCGCGUCUCGAAAUGGAGCUGACACAAGGGAAUGAAGGAAAUUAAAUAGCACACGGAGAUCGGGUGUCUGGGCAGCGUCCUGGGUAAAAACCGUCAAUUAAAGAUUUGCAUCCUUUUACACGUUUCCAAGAAAGUGAUGUGGUAGCUGCACGAUCAUCUGGUUGCUGUAAUAGUGUGCCCUAAAAAGAGCCUAUUAUUUCCUUGUUAAAGCAACUCACCAGCAUCCAGAAGUUUCCUCACACGCAAAUAACUGAUGGCAAAGAAAAGCUGACUGCCCUUUAUGCAUUCUUUUGGGGGAAUCCCUGAUCUGUGCUCAUCAGUGCUCCUGUGACUCCAUACAUUUUCACCAUACUUAACCAGCAUAGGUAUGUCACUACUACCAACAAGGCACAAUAUUUGGAUUUACUGUGACUACCUGAAUA